UUAAAUCAUCCAUUUAAAGAUGUCAGACAAGCUCUGUGUUCUAAGGACACAGCAUGUACAACCUCACAUAGAGUUCCUGACCAGACAAGACUCGCUGGAAAUUUCCCAGGAUCUUCCUUCCUUAAGUUUGAAUAGCUCUCUGGUUCCAGUUUGAAGCUGAAAAGGUUAAAUUCUACCUGAAGGAUGAAAACAACCAACAUCUGUGCCAAGACAGUCAGGAGGGCAACCAUGUUUCCUGGUGGAGCCUCUGGAACCACUCAAGCCAAGAUGACCCGGGGUUUGGCUGGGAGGAGGUGGGGAAACUACAGACCCUACAAAUGGUUUCCUGUACCAUGAGGCUAAGCCUGGGGGCAGGAGACGCUGUGCCUUAGUUUCUUCAUCUGUAAAAUGAAGUAACACAGUACCU
rnacentral:antisense_RNA from 1 species